UACGAAGGGUGCAAGCGUUACUCGGAAUUACUGGGCGUAAAGCGUGCGUAGGUGGUUUGUUAAGUCUGAUGUGAAAGCCCUGGGCUCAACCUGGGAAUUGCAUUGGAUACUGGCAGGCUAGAGUGCGGUAGAGGGUAGUGGAAUUCCCGGUGUAGCAGUGAAAUGCGUAGAGAUCGGGAGGAACAUCCGUGGCGAAGGCGACUACCUGGACCAGCACUGACGCUGAGGCACGAAAGCGUGGGGAGCAAACAGG
rnacentral:rRNA from 1 species